AAUAUCUGAGAUGAUUUAAAUGAGGACGAAGGCAUUAAUGGCAAUACCAUCAAUAAUGUACUGUACCCAUGACCGAUGUCUUCCUAGAACUUUAUUGAUUGCACCAGAAGUCCAGUAGCCUUCAUUGCAGUUGAACUUGCUUAUAUUUCUGCAUAUUUUGAUUUAUACAUUUCUUUAUAGGAGAUUCCAGAGCUGUCACCCAAUAGCCCUCCUGCAGACAGUCCUGCUUCUCCUCUCAACAAUCAGCUGGGGAACUUUUGCACAGAUGAGACACCCACGGCAUCUCAGGGGCUGUUGAAACUGCUUAGGAUCAAUUUGGAGGAAUCCUCUGGAGAAAAAUUGGCAAAGGAGACAAUGAAAGAAGAAUCUUGGAACAUUCAUUUCUUUGAAUACGGGAGGGGUGUGUGUAUGUACCGCACAGCCAAGACCCGUGAGCUGGUGCAAAAAGGAAUUCCGGAGAAUCUUCGUGGAGAACUGUGGCUCCUCUUUUCAGGGGCCUCAAAUGAGAUGGCCACUCACCCUGGGUACUACAGCGACUUGGUGAAGCAAUCUAUGGGAAAAUAUAGCCUUGCCACUGAGGAAAUUGAAAGAGACCUGCAUCGUUCAAUGCCCGAGCACCCUGCCUUUCACAAUGAACUAGGGUUUGCUGCACUUAGAAGGGUACUAACAGCAUAUGCUUUUCGGAAUCCUACCAUUGGUUACUGCCAGGCCAUGAACAUAGUGACAUCAGUACUACUUCUAUAUUGUAAUGAAGAAGAAGCUUUCUGGCUCCUUGUGGCCCUGUGUGAGAGAAUGCUGCCAGAUUACUAUAACACUAGAGUGGUUGGUGCGCUAGUAGACCAAGGCAUCUUUGAGGAGCUAACACGGGAUUACCUUCCCCAGCUGUCUGAGAAGAUGCAAGAUUUAGGGGUCAUUUCCAGCAUAUCACUAUCUUGGUUCCUCACACUUUUCCUUAGUGUCAUGCCUUUUGCAAGUGCAGUGGUCAUUGUUGACUGUUUCUUCUAUGAAGGCAUAAAGGUCAUCUUGCAGGUAUCCCUGGCCAUCCUGGAGGCCAACAUGGACAAGCUGUUAAAUUGCUGUGAUGAAGGUGAAGCCAUGACUGUCUUGGGCAGGUACCUGGAUAAUGUAAUUAAUCGGCAGAAUAUUUUCUCACGUAUUCCUCACCUCCACGCUUCAUUGACGAGUGGGGAUGAUCCAUCAGUGGAAAUUGAUAUAUUUGAACUUAUAAGAACAGCCUAUGAGAAAUUCAGCCACUUGAAAACAGAUGAUAUUGAACAAAUGCGUUUUAAACAAAGACUGAAGGUAAUCCAUUCUUUAGAAGACACUGCUAAGAGAAGUGUGGUCCGAGCUGUAUCUGGUGACAUUGGCUUUUCUAUGCAAGAAUUAGAAGAUCUUUAUGUAGUAUUUAAGGCAAAACACUUCAUGAGCUGUUACUGGGGAAAUCGCACUUCAGCUGCUCAAAGAGACCAGAGCCUACCCUACUUAGAGCAGUACCGCAUCAACAUCGAGCAGUUCAAAGACUUGUUUGCUUCUCUUACGCCUUGGUCUUGUGGACUCCACACAUCAGUGCUAGCAGAAAGGAUGUUCCGACUUCUGGAUGAAAACAAAGAUGCGCUUAUUAACUUUAAAGAGUUUGCAACAGGCAUGAGUGGAAUGUAUCAUGGCGAUCUGACUGAGAAGCUGAAACUCCUUUACAAACUACAUUUGCCUCCAGCUCUCAGUCCAGAGGAAGCAGAGUCUGCUCUGGAGGCUGCAAGUUACUUCACAGAAGAUAACACUACUGAAGUAUCUCCUUUUGUCUCAGAACUGGAUCUCUUCCUGCAUUGUGAUUCUCAAGAAACAGAUGUUCACGGAGAUAAAUCAGCAAGAGAAGGGGAGUCCAAAGAUCAAGAGAAGGGCACAAGUCCUCAUGAUUACAGAUACCACCUGCGAAUGUGGGCCAAGGAGAAGGAUGCCAGAAAAGAAACGAUCAAAGAUCUCCCUAAAAUGAGUCAGGAACAAUUUAUAGAAUUGUGCAAGACCCUAUAUAACAUGUUCAGUGAAGAUUCUUUGGAGCAAGAACUGUACCAUGCCAUUGCCACUGUUGCAAGCCUUCUCCUACGAAUUGGGGAGGUUGGCAAAAAGUUCUGUCAUCAGCCUGUUAAAAAGGACCCUGUAAGUAAAGAGUCUCCAGCUUCUGAUCAGAGUCAGAGUUCAAUCAUGGAGCAAUAUUCUCAGGCUACUCCAGAAGGCAAAGCUUCUGGGGACAUUCAGGCUGAGAAAAAUCAACAGGAAAAUCAGAUUUUUGUAGACGGAGGAGGUGAAGGUCCAGGAUCUCCCAUACAGCUCUUUUCAGAUGACGAAACUAAAGAUGAUAUGUCUAUGUCUUCAUAUUCUAUGGUUAGCACAGGCUCCUUACAGUGUGAAGAUAUUGCAGAUGAUACGGUUCUGGUUGGUUGUGAGGCAGGCAGCUCAGCUGCACGAUGUGGCAGCACCAUUGAUACAGACUGGUCCAUCUCCUUUGAACACAUUUUAGCCUCUAUCCUUACAGAGUCAGUCCUAGUAAACUACUUUGAGAAGAAAACCGAUGUAACGCAGAAGAUCAAGGAACAAAGGAAAAUUGAAAGGCAAUUCAGUUCAUCCAGUGAUUAUGAACUCUCCUCAGUAUCAGGCUGAACGUGGGGAAUAAGCAAAGCUUGGGCAAGAGGCAGAAGAUCUAGGAACCUGAUGGAUGGGUGGAUGUUUGUUUUGGUUUUUUACCAACAUCAAUAACUAUGCAUUAAUUAAAGAAACUUCAGCUGAAUAAGGAGUUUAUCAUAGUGCUCUUUGAUAUAUACACCUCCCUGGAGGACACCUUGCUUGCUGAAAUAAUAUUACAUUCUUAAAAGCAUGAAAGCACAGAACCCAAUAGCCUCUGUGGCUUAAAAUUAUUAGAGUAAAUUAUGCAUGUGUGCCUCUGCCUGUCUUUUUUAAUGCAGCUUAAUUUUAGUCACACUAUGCUAUACCUCCCUUUGCUCUGGGUUUCUUGGUAAUUAUUUAGAAGUGCAGCCUUGCUUUAUAUCUUUUCGCUGCUUCCCUGUGUCCUAACACAAUGUGUCAUAAUGCUGUAGAGAUCUCUAGCCUGCCUAAGUAAGCUCUGCUAGGAACUGAUAAUGCAGUGGAACUUGUUAAAUGUAAAGAUGUUGUAUUCUCUUACUCUUGGCAUCCUGCAACUCAAAAUGCACCAGUGUCUUGGGACAGCUGGUUUCUAUCCCAAGUGAUUCACUCAUGUUAAUUAGUACAGUAUGUAACUUUCAAAACUCGAAAGACAGAUGUUUACUAAUAUCUUUUAGCCCUAUUUUAACUCUUCAGUGCCAUGUUCAUUUUAAUUUUCCUGAAAGAAAGGAGUGUAAUAGCCAUGGAGAAUGAAGCAGAGCGAAUAGAAUACCUGUUCUGUUUCAGGGUAACAGCAGACACAGUUGCUAAAGAGCAGAAGCAGAUAACAGCAGACAGGUUGUAAAGCAAAGACUUAGCAAAGCACAUUUGCCUAAAAAGUACCGUUUGCAGUCUGGGUAGCAAAAGAGUAGUCUAGUUACAUUGCAAAAAGUCGCAAAGCUAAAUCAGGUAGUCAGCCAAUUCAGAAGUCAGGAACAUAAGUCACAAGCUAGGAAUUCCAAAUGGUUGUUUCCAGCAGAGACCAAACCAAAGCAGCUACAUAAAUCUUUCUGCCAGCAGCUGUCUGCAAUCACUCAGGCCUUGCUCUUUGCCUUGCGAGGAGUCUCAUUGAUUGACCUGCUUUGCUUGCAGCUGCAUGUGUCUGGAUCUGGGGUUUGGGGCCGUGCCUCAUCAUCCAACUGCUCCAGCUGAUCAGGAGAUGCCUGUGGCUGAUCAGCUUCAGAUGUAUCAUGGCUUAAUGAUUCCUGAGGCUGACAUUCCACAGGCUCAGCUGGAACAACAUUGUCAGAGUCAUGCUCUGAAUCAUGGCUUAUAAUACCACAGUCCUGAGGUCACAGGAUGCAAAAGACUUAACUGUUUGUCUUUAGAUCAUUUUAUUGUUUCUUCAUAAUUUGAGAUAGUACAUAGCCUGAGCUCGUAACCUACAAGCCAGUUAUCUUUGAGUAUUUGUAUAAUUGGAAAGUCUGCUUAAGUCAUGUUUUUCUGUGUGAUCUGAAGUAGGUCUAAAUAAUUUUUUUGUUUGUAAAUACAUUCAUGGGAAAUGUAAAUGUAAAUGCAUAACUUACUGGCUGUGUGGUAGCCCAAAUGUUGUACAUCAUUUGAAUUGCAGUACAAGAAUAAGAUUCCAACUGUGUAUGUAAUGUAUGUUAACAGGUGAAGUUUAGAUCACCUUGUGUUCUGGUAGCAUAGUAUAAGUAUUCAGAUACAAGAUCUGUCCUCUACAAAAUCACUUGUGGACUGGAAGAAAAUUGGAACUCCAUUUUGGAUUGAUAGCUUCCCUAUGGGAAGGCAUUCACUCUCAAGAAGCACUAUUUGUUUAUAUUUGUAUACAUACUCUGUACACAAAUUGCAUGAGUUAAAUUGAAAUUGUAUAAAUGCUAGUGUAUGGUAAUUGCUGGACCAGUCAUUAGUGCAGUCACAUUGGCUGUUCAGAAGGAGGAAAAUCUAAAGAUCUUGAGCGUAUGUAUACAUGGAAUACACCACUUGGUGCAAUACCCAGUGUUAGUCUGAUUUUGUGGCAUAUUCUGUAUAUUUAAAUCUCAAACUUCAUAUUCAUGCAUCUGAAAGCAGACAAUGACAUUAGCUUUUACUAAUGCUUCAAUAAUUUAUUAUCUUUUUAAAUAUAUAUAUAUGUAAUUUUACAUUGUUUUUGUCUGAUCAAUCAUGUAUAUAUUCAAUAAAUGAA